rnacentral:rRNA from 1 species
UACGAAGGGGGCUAGCGUUGCUCGGAAUUACUGGGCGUAAAGGGCGCGUAGGCGGACAGUUUAGUCAGAGGUAAAAGCCCAGGGCUCAACCUUGGAACUGCCUUUGAUACUGACUGUCUUGAGUUCGGGAGAGGUGAGUGGAAUGCCGAGUGUAGAGGUGAAAUUCGUAGAUAUCAAGCGGAACACCGGUGGCGAAGGCGGCCUUCUGGACGAUGACUGACGCUGAUGCGCGAAAGCGUGGGGAGCGAUCCGG